GAUGAACGCUGGCGGCGUGCCUAAUACAUGCAAGUCGAGCGAACGGACGAGAAGCUUGCUUUUCUGAUGUUAGCGGCGGACGGGUGAGUAACACGUGGAUAACCUACCUAUAAGACUGGGAUAACUUCGGGAAACCGGAGCUAAUACCGGAUAAUAUUUUGAACCGCAUGGUUCAAAAGUGAAAGACGGUCUUGCUGUCACCUAUAGAUGGAUCCGCGCUGCAUUAGCUAGUUGGUAAGGUAACGGCUUACCAAGGCAACGAUGCAUAGCCGACCUGAGAGGGNGAUCGGCCACACUGGAACUGAGACACGGUCCAGACUCCUACGGGAGGCAGCAGUAGGGAAUCUUCCGCAAUGGGCGAAAGCCUGACGGAGCAACGCCGCGUGAGUGAUGAAGGUCUUCGGAUCGUAAAACUCUGUUAUUAGGGAAGAACAUAUGUGUAAGUAACUGUGCACAUCUUGACGGUACCUAAUCAGAAAGCCACGGCUAACUACGUGCCAGCAGCCGCGGUAAUACGUAGGUGGCAAGCGUUAUCCGGAAUUAUUGGGCGUAAAGCGCGCGUAGGCGGUUUUUUAAGUCUGAUGUGAAAGCCCACGGCUCAACCGUGGAGGGUCAUUGGAAACUGGAAAACUUGAGUGCAGAAGAGGAAAGUGGAAUUCCAUGUGUAGCGGUGAAAUGCGCAGAGAUGUGGAGGAACACCAGUGGCGAAGGCGACUUUCUGGUCUGUAACUGACGCUGAUGUGCGAAAGCGUGGGGAUCAAACAGGAUUAGAUACCCUGGUAGUCCACGCCGUAAACGAUGAGUGCUAAGUGUUAGGGGGUUUCCGCCCCUUAGUGCUGCAGCUAACGCAUUAAGCACUCCGCCUGGGGAGUACGACCGCAAGGUUGAAACUCAAAGGAAUUGACGGGGGCCCGCACAAGCGGUGGAGCAUGUGGUUUAAUUCGAAGCAACGCGAAGAACCUUACCAAAUCUUGACAUCCUUUGACAACUCUAGAGAUAGAGCCUUCCCCUUCGGGGGACAAAGUGACAGGUGGUGCAUGGUUGUCGUCAGCUCGUGUCGUGAGAUGUUGGGUUAAGUCCCGCAACGAGCGCAACCCUUAAGCUUAGUUGCCAUCAUUAAGUUGGGCACUCUAAGUUGACUGCCGGUGACAAACCGGAGGAAGGUGGGGAUGACGUCAAAUCAUCAUGCCCCUUAUGAUUUGGGCUACACACGUGCUACAAUGGACAAUACAAAGGGCAGCGAAACCGCGAGGUCAAGCAAAUCCCAUAAAGUUGUUCUCAGUUCGGAUUGUAGUCUGCAACUCGACUACAUGAAGCUGGAAUCGCUAGUAAUCGUAGAUCAGCAUGCUACGGUGAAUACGUUCCCGGGUCU
rnacentral:rRNA from 1 species